rnacentral:tRNA from 1 species
GGCUCAAUAGCUCAGUGGUAGAGCAACAGUUUUGUAAACUGUAGGUCGGGGGUUCGAUCCCCUCUUGUGCCU